rnacentral:rRNA from 1 species
AACGAACGCUGGUGGCAGGCUUAACACAUGCAAGUCGAACGCAUCCUUCGGGGUGAGUGGCAGACGGGUGAGUAACGCGUGGGAACGUGCCCUUCAGUUCGGGUUAACCCAGGGAAACUUGGGCUAAUACCGGAUACGUGCGAGAGCAGAAAGAUUUAUCGCUGAAGGAUCGGCCCGCGUCUGAUUAGCUAGUUGGUGGGGUAAUGGCCCACCAAGGCGACGAUCAGUAGCUGGUCUGAGAGGAUGAUCAGCCACAUUGGGACUGAGACACGGCCCAAACUCCUACGGGAGGCAGCAGUGGGGAAUAUUGGACAAUGGGCGCAAGCCUGAUCCAGCCAUGCCGCGUGAGUGAUGAAGGCCUUAGGGUUGUAAAGCUCUUUCGUCCGGGACGAUAAUGACGGUACCGGAAGAAGAAGCCCCGGCUAACUUCGUGCCAGCCGCCGCAGUAA